CUGACCCGACCCUCUUGGUAUCUAUAAAACUGCUAAACUCAAAUGAAGACUGUAUAUAAAAUUCCAGGUAGGAAGCUGCCCUAGGAGAGCCGCAGCUCUGCUAUAUCCUGGAUGCCAUCCUGUUUUUGUAUGGUAUUGUCCUUACCCUGCUCUACUGUCGACUCAAGAUCCAGGUCCGAAAGGCAGACAUAGCCAGCCGUGAGAAAUCAGAUGCUGUCUACACGGGCCUGAACACCCGGAACCAGGAGACAUAUGAGACUCUGAAACAUGAGAAACCACCCCAAUAGCUUUACAACACGUGUUCUCAGCUGCAUUCCUUUUCCGCUUUUAAUUCUCUCCUCGCCCUCAUGAUUGACGUGGCUGUGCUACCUCCGUGCUUCUGGAACUAGCUGACCUUAUUCCCAGAACCAUGCUAGGCUCUAAAUCAAUGUCCCCAUAUCCACCAAAGACUUACUCACUGACAUUUCUCUUCUCCCAUCCUCCUUUGCUUCAUUCCUCUUUCCUUCCCUGAUCCUCUGUGCUCACUAAACAAUGGGAAGGGAUUACCCCCCAAUAAAGCUGCCAGAGAUCACGCUC
rnacentral:lncRNA from 1 species